CAAACGGCUCUUUUUAGAGCCACCACAUAUCCAAGAAAGAACCAGU
rfam:Strongylocentrotus purpuratus Contig101557_fixed, whole genome shotgun sequence.